AAUUCUCAAACUCGAUGUGAUUUUCAUUAAUUGCGUCGAGGUUUGGAUGUGGAAGUUGCAGGCUCUCAAUGAGUUGGCUCUUCUCAAAUGCAUUAGUGGCUUGUCGAUCCCCAUUUUUUGGUGUGAUAGUAAUAUCUACAUCAUGAUGAAUGGCUAGGUCAUGCGAUGACAAAGUUAGCUGCUCUCUAAUGGUCUUUAUGACAAUUUGAACC
rnacentral:misc_RNA from 1 species